rnacentral:rRNA from 1 species
GACGAACGCUGGCGGCGUGCUUAACACAUGCAAGUCGAACGGAAAGGCCCUGCUUUUGUGGGGUGCUCGAGUGGCGAACGGGUGAGUAACACGUGAGUAACCUGCCCUUGACUUUGGGAUAACUUCAGGAAACUGGGGCUAAUACCGGAUAGGAGCUCCUGCUGCAUGGUGGGGGUUGGAAAGUUUCGGCGGUUGGGGAUGGACUCGCGGCUUAUCAGCUUGUUGGUGGGGUAGUGGCUUACCAAGGCUUUGACGGGUAGCCGGCCUGAGAGGGUGACCGGCCACAUUGGGACUGGGGUACCGCCCAGACUCCUACGGGAGGCAGGAGUGGGGAAUAUUGCACAAUGGGCGGAAGCCUGAUGCAGCAACGCCGCGUGCGGGAUGACGGCCUUCGGGUUGUAAACCGCUUUCGCCUGUGACGAAGCGUGAGUGACGGUAAUGGGUAAAGAAGCACCGGCUAACUACGUG